UACGAAGGUCCCAAGCGUUAUCCGGAUUUAUUGGGUUUAAAGGGUGCGUAGGCGGAUUAGUAAGUCAGGGGUGAAAGCCUUCAGCUUAACUGAAGAACUGCCAUUGAUACUGAUGAUCUUGAGUAUGAUUGAGGCGGGCGGAAUGUGUCAUGUAGCGGUGAAAUGCUUAGAUAUGACACAGAACACCGAUUGCGAAGGCAGCUCGCUAAGCCAUAACUGACGCUGAUGCACGAAAGCGUGGGGAGCAAACAGG
rnacentral:rRNA from 1 species